rnacentral:rRNA from 1 species
UGGGGAAUAUUGGACAAUGGGGGAAACCCUGAUCCAGCGACGCCGCGUGUGUGAAGAAGGCCUGCGGGUUGUAAAGCACUUUUAGUGGGGAUGAAAAGCCUAGGACUAACACUCCUGGGUCUUGACCUAACCCACAGAAAAAGCACCGGCUAACUCUGUGCCAGCAGCCGCGGUAAUACAGAGGGUGCGAGCGUUAAUCGGAAUUACUGGGCGUAAAGCGUGCGUAGACGGUAGCGUAAGUCAGAUGUGAAAGCCCCGGGCUCAACCUGGGAAUUGCAUUUGAGACUGCUCUGCUUGGGU